CAGGCUAUGCAUUCCGUGUGCAUUUUCAAUGACUGUACCCGUAAUGUACAUAGCUUGAG
rnacentral:pre_miRNA from 1 species